CUUUAUUGGAGAGUUUGAUCCUGGCUCAGGAUGAACGCUGGCGGCGUGCCUAAUACAUGCAAGUCGAGCGAACCGAUUAAGAGCUUGCUCUUAUGAAGUUAGCGGCGGACGGGUGAGUAACACGUGGGUAACCUGCCCAUAAGACUGGGAUAACUCCGGGAAACCGGGGCUAAUACCGGAUAA
rnacentral:rRNA from 1 species